AAGGGUAACAAGGUUUCCGUAGGUGAACCUGCGGAAGGAUCAUUACCUAGAGUUGCGGGCUUUGCCUGCCAUCUCUUACCCAUGUCUUUUGAGUACCUUCGUUUCCUCGGCGGGUUCGCCCGCCGGUUGGACAACACUUAAACCCUUUGUAAUUGAAAUCAGCGUCUGAAAAAACUUUAAUAGUUACAACUUUCAACAACGGAUCUCUUGGUUCUGGCAUCGAUGAAGAACGCAGCGAAAUGCGAUAAGUAGUGUGAAUUGCAGAAUUCAGUGAAUCAUCGAAUCUUUGAACGCACAUUGCGCCCCUUGGUAUUCCAUGGGGCAUGCCUGUUCGAGCGUCAUUUGUACCUUCAAGCUCUGCUUGGUGUUGGGUGUUUGUCUCGCCUCUGCGCGCAGACUCGCCUCAAAACAAUUGGCAGCCGGCGUAUUGAUUUCGGAGCGCAGUACAUCUCGCGCUUUGCACUCAUAACGACGACGUCCAAAAAGUACAUUUUUUACACUCUUGACCUCGGAUCAGGUAGGGAUACCCGCGA
rnacentral:rRNA from 1 species